UGAAGGUCGAAGGGGAAGAAAAGCUGUAUCGAUUGUUGAGAUCUGGCGACUUGUUUAAAUUUCAUCAGCCUCACUUCUAUGAACUCUCAGGACAGCUCACAGUAUGGCAGCUGACAUUCUACAGAGUGAGCAGGUGAAGGAAAGAAAGAAAAGGCCUCACGUGUACCAGCUCUCUGCUCUCCUUUGCCUUGGGACGUUCCAUCCCUGGAAGUUUCCCUGCCCACAUCUUUGUAGAGAGUCCAUUCUCCAAGCUUCAGUGUGUCAUCUGUGAGGACCGUGACCCACCUGGUACAUCGCCUCAGGGCAUUCAUUUCAGGCUCCUUCUAAAUGGCCAAGGUAUUAUGGUUGACCCUAAAGAAGCAUCAGCUUGGCUUUGCACCAAAGAAGUUUUUAGUCAAGUUGGAGAGAGAUCACUACUCAAAGAACGCAAGAGACUAAUGGAAGACAGAAUAUAUUGGCAGCAGACUAAAAGGCAGAAUGGUCACACUUCAAAAUGUUUGGUACAAGCUAUGGUGAUGUUAUUGAUCUUCUGAUUUGAUGUUCCUGUGAAGGUUCUAUGACCUAUUUUGAUAUGUAGACAGUGGUAAAAUGCUCAAAGCUCUUU
rnacentral:lncRNA from 10 species